rnacentral:rRNA from 1 species
GUGAGGAAUAUUGCGCAAUGGAGGCAACUCUGACGCAGCCAUGCCGCGUGCAGGAAGAAGGCGCUACGCGUUGUAAACUGCUUUUAACCGGGAAGAAACCCCAGGACGUGUCCUGGGUUGACGGUACCGGAGGAAUAAGCACCGGCUAACUUCGUGCAGCAGCCGCGGUAAUACGAAGGGUGCAAGCGUUAUCCGGAUUCAUUGGGUUUAAAGGGUGCGUAGGCGGAGCGUUAAGUCAGUGGUGAAAUCCUGCAGCUUAACUGUAGACUUGCCAUUGAUACUGGCGCUCUUGAGUGCGCUUGAAGUGGGCGGAAUGUGCCGUGUAGCGGUGAAAUGCUUAGAUAUGGCACAGAACACCAAUUGCGAAGGCAGCUCACUAAGGCGAUACUGACGCUGAGGCACGAAAGCGUGGGGAUCGAACAGGAUUAGAAACCCGGGUAGUCC